CUAUCUCAGGAUACGUUCCAUCAACAAAGACUGCCUUAUUUCUAGCACCCAAGGCCAUUAACAUCGAUCUACGCCAGCUAUUAAAAUUGCCAAGACCGCUAAGCUUCUCAGAAACCAGAGAAAUACCAGCAUGAUCCGCAUGAUGAACAUAUAACGGAUUCGCAUGAGGAUCAGUGAGCGGCGGCGGGAUCGGAGAGGACAACGGCUGAAUCGGAGAUGAUUGUGGAUUCUCCAUGAUUCAGAGGUCAAGAAAAAGAUAUUGCGGCAAAGAAAACGCAAAUCCAAGGUCAAUGAAGAUGAAAGAACAAAGAAAGAAAGACGAUACGCGCAACAAUCCGAAAGAAGACGACGAUCUGAACACAGAGACGAUCGAGAAGAACGAAAAUCCUCGGAUUGAAAGCAAAACUCAUCACCAAGAUCGGAGAAACAAUGAUCGAAGCGGAAGAAACGAGAUCAGAUUGGCUCUGAUACCAUAUUAGAGCUAGUGAAGCUGGAGCUCAAGCUCGAUGAAGAUGGUGAUGAAGAGAGCGAGAGAGUAAAGUUUGUUAGAGAUUUCAAACUGUAAUUUUCACUUAAUGAAAAAUAAACGUAUACAAUCUGUAUUUAUAUGUACAUUGCUAACCGGUUUAAUCAUAUCUACAGUCCGGUUUAAUAACUCUAAUAUUUUGUGUUCUUUUUCAUCUUGAGAGGACGAAGUUCUUCGUCGAAUGCCGCUUCGAUUUGCGAAACUUCAUAUCUGACUCGAUCCAAGAAAAUCCAGAGCAGAGUCAUUGGAAGCAUCACUUCCUCUCGAUUCAUAAGCAGGUGUACAUGCAAAUCAUCAGCAAAUCCCUGAUACAGAGAUUUUAGGAGAGGCUGGUGUUACCGUCUACGCUCGAUGAUGUUGACGACAAGAAGACUCAUUUGUUGUUAAAAAAAAAUUAGUUGUAAGUUGUAACUCAGAUAAAAUGGAUAGUGGUUAGUGGAGAUGACAAGUUAGAGCUACACGAGCGUCGAAAAUCUGAAGAAAAUUUCCACAGCCCAAGCUUCUGUCAAUUAUGAAGGUAACGUUGGUGGUAUAUAUGCCAGAUGACGUCAUUCUCUGAAACAUUAUCUACGAUACUUCAGUUUGUGUUGUAUAACAUAUAAUUUCAUUUCUCAUGUGCAGUAUCCUAUUCAGAUUCCAAACCACAGAAACACACUAUUUGAAAAGGUAUAUAUACUGAUGACUGGAUAUCUGUUACUGGAUGUAUAACUCAUACAUAUUAGAUUCCUCGAAAUUCUUACUAUAUCUUGAUUAGGAAUAUUCCAAUAACAUUUGUGAGAUCAUGAAUGUUUUUAUCCGAUUGAUUAACUAAGUUUUUGAAAUUUAUGUUAAUACAUAUGUUUGUUUUUUGCCAAACAAAUUUUAAUUCCAUAUGAUCUAUCAAUUUACUAAUAUGGUUUCAGGUUUUAGUUAGACAUGUUACUAGAGUCUGUGAAUACAUAAAUUAAGCGUGUGGAAGCUUUUUUGGAGACGAUCAGCAACAACACCAUCUCAUAAAGACACCAAUUAGUAUAAGAAAAAACACUUUUCAGGGAAAAAGUUACUUGAUCAUAUCCUUUGGUGCUAUUUAUGUGAUGAUUUAAUAGUGUUGAACGUUAUUUGUGAUAAUUUAUAUGUGCUGAACGUUACUUGAUCAAAAGUUACUUAAUGCAAUUAUAUGUGAUGAUUUAAUAGUGCUGAACGUAAGGUGCGUUGAACCGGUUGUGCGGGUAUCGUGGGCUUGACGUUAUGGAGUUUCGGAGAAGAAUUGUCAUAUCGCCUCAUCGGUGAUACUAACUCACUUGAAGAACACAGGACAAAGUGUGGCUCUGAUUUGAGAAAAGAAUGGUCUGUCUAUAUGCUAAGAAUCAUCACAAAUCACUGAGAUCACCUAAGUUUCUAUUUCAAGCAGCAGGACUCCAAAAUUCUAAGCACAAACGGUAGUUUUUUUACAAAUUUUCACUCCAAAUAACGUUAUCUAAGUCCUAAUUACCUACCUAAAUUUGGUUUGUUGAAAACCGUCGUUUCUUUGCUGCACUUUAAGCUAUAUAGAAUAGUUCUUCAUAUAAAGGCCUGUUGAUUGCAAGUCUUUAAGAAAAUGUGACAAAACAAUAACGGCCUAUUGAUUGUAAGUCUUUACGAAAAUAUGAAAAAACAAAGAGAAUGUCUUGUAUUAUUUUAA